AAAUGCAAGAUUAUUCUGGAGUAAAUUAACCUAAUCACACAGGGCAAGUAAAUUAAUGUCAGUUCAUUACCUAACAGCAAAAAUAAUAUUAACCCAAAGAAUCUAAAUCCACUUCUGACACAUAUUCAAUUUUUAUAAUGUUACGUUGACAGUCUUUUCUAGAUUAUAUGUGGUGGUUUUUCAGCAUUAGCUGCUCUGCUAAUUGGAAACGUUGGGCGUGAGAGCACAAAUAGUCCAGGGGUGCUGAAGAAGGCUGCUUCCAGAAUUGAUCCAGCAAUAUUACAACUCGGACACCACUUCGCUGAAACACCAUUGGGUAUUUUGCAAGGCCAGUCUGCCUGCCGUAAAUUCAGCCAAUGAGAAGGUCUCAGGGCUUUCUGUGCAGUAGGUCUAUUUUUUCCAAAGCAGCGCAGUAGCUCUGGUUUGAAGAAUUCAGGCUCCUCGGCCCUCCUUCCUCCCCACUCCUCCCCCUCCCCCUCCCAUCGCAAGUCGCUCGGGGGGGGGGGGGUCGUCCGGCAGUGCCGUGAGCGCUGCUUCCUCGGCUCCCUGAGGGAUAGUUCCCCCCCACCCCGUUUUCCCAAAACGGGGCUCCACAUGGGUCCCACUGACUGGAGGAAAGGCCCUGAGCUUCUCUCGGCCUUAACAGCUUGCGAAGUUGGGAAAUUUAUGUUGCAACCUUGAGAACGGCAAAGUAAAUAGAGAGCACGCCAGCUCUGUGUUUUCCUGUUGAUGAAUUCUCCAAGUUCAGACUGGAAGCCCUCCAAGGACUAAAGUCUCCACAAGUGGAACGUUAACCCGGGGCCCUUAGGCUGCUUUUCCCACCGGGCCUGUCUGCGUUCUCUCUCACCUAGAAAGUUCCAGAACACCUCUGGGCUUCUGCUGGCUCUGUAUGUUGCGCAGGGAGGAGCCGGCUUCUCUUAACCACGCAGAACAAGCCAGGGCCAAAGGCGGUGAAGGAAGAAGCCCGCGGCGACGUGGGACAGGAACUUUCCAGAACUUCUCGUAGCGAGGCUUGCUGGCGCCCAGCUCCUGCCGUUUAGCGAACCGCGCUCAGCUCGUGGAAGUGAGUCGACGAUUUAAAGCCAAACUUUUCUAGCUUUAAAUGUUUGCCACGUGCUCUGUUGCACAUCUUAUAUCAUAAAUCCGUCAUCCUCUCCUUGGGAACGUAAUAGAUUUAGCCCUACAUUUAUUUUUUUCCAAGCAUGAGACAUACAAUUUAUAGACCAGCCUAGGUAAAACGAUGAUUUUAAUUCCCUUAAUCAUUAUUUUUAGAGUUUGUGCAACUGGAUUUUUUCUUUACCAUCUUUAAAAUUCUAAAUAUAAUAUUUUCCUAAUUAUAAAUUAUUACAUUAACUAUAAGGGAACAUGAGAAAUGUGUAUAAAAUUUUAAAAAUAUUAUUUGUAAUUUCAUCACCCACAGUUAAGUGUUGUUAACAUCUUGGUGUAUUCUUCUUUUUCUUCUGGUAGCUACACUGGAUGCUUUUUCAUUUGAUUUUUAUAUCAUAAAUAUCAUCUCAAUAUUUAUUUACUAUCAGUAAUCUUCAAAAAUGAGAUUUUUAAUGACUUCAAUAAUAUUCCAUCAUUAGAAUGUGUCAUAAUGUUCUUAACUAAUCUACUGUUGGAUAUUGUAAGUAGCAUUCCAGUAAACAUAUUUCUAGGUAAAUCUUUGGCCACAUCUCCUAAGUAUUAAUUCCUUAGGAUAGAUUCUUAGAAGUGAAAUUGCUGGGUCAAAGUGUAGGAACAGUGUUAAGAUACUUAAUACAUUUUGCCAGUUUUUUCCAAAAGAUGCUUAUCUGUUUAGCUCCCACCAGCAGUGACUGAGAUGCCCUGGUUUGCUGUGCUCUCAUCCACAGGGAGGUUUGCUGUUUUCCUUCCUCUGCAGAUACAAUAGAUAUUUCUGGUGUUGAAACAAGUGGUCUGGCCCAAGGGUGGGGAGGAGUGUAGGCUGGGAAUCAGCAUACCUGGAUUUGAAUUUAGGCUGUCCAUUAGUUAACUCUGUGACCUUAUGGAAAACCCUUAGCAGGAAAGAUAAAGAAUUGGAACAGUAAUGACUGUCCACAUGAGAUAACAAAUUUGGACAAGUAAAGUGUAAAGUAUAGGGUUUUUUUUUUUAAUUACUGCAAGGUGCCUACCCUUUGCUAUUAGUAUCUAAGAAAAAAAUCAGAACUUGAGUGUGCAAAUUAUAAACAAAAAAUGAACUCUUGAUUUAAGGUUUCCUUUUUAAAAAUAAGAGAAAAGGAUUUUCUUGUUAGCAUAAUUUCUCACAUCCCUUUCUGAGCUCACCAAAAAACAACAAAAAAAAUUAAGCAGUAUCUGAAAUCUCAGAUAAGCCUAACUCUAAUGUAUUUUGAAAUAAAGUUCGACAUUACCUUGGAUUAUGCAGACUAAACCAAUAGUUAACAGUUGUAUGGAAGGUGGAUUCAGCUGUAAUUGGCAUUUUUGAGGAAGGUACCAAAAACACAAAACAUUUUUCAACAUUAAUUGCCACAACCCACUUCAAAGCCUUCCCUCCUACCAUGCUGCUCUGUUCACAAGGUUCCAACACAUGCUCCUCCAUCCAUGUUCUUUCCUC